rnacentral:rRNA from 1 species
UACGUAGGGGGCGAGCGUUGUCCGGAAUCAUUGGGCGUAAAGCGCGUGUAGGCGGUUCGGUAAGUCUGCUGUGAAAGUCCAGGGCUCAACCCUGGGAUGCCGGUGGAUACUGCCGAACUAGAGUGCGGAAGAGGCGAGUGGAAUUCCCGGUGUAGCGGCGAAAUGCGCAGAUAUCGGGAGGAACACCAAUGGCGAAGGCAGCUCGCUGGGACGGUACUGACGCUGAGACGCGAAAGCAUGGGGAGCGAACAGG